rnacentral:rRNA from 1 species
GUGAAAUCCCGGGGCUCAACCCCGGAACUGCAUCCGAUACUGCCGUGCUUUGAGGGUUGGAGAGGUAGCUGGAAUUCUUGGUGUAGCAGUGAAAUGCGUGGAUAUCAAGAGGAACACUCGUGGCGAAAGCGAGCUACUGGACAACACCUGACGCUGAGGCUCGAAGGCCAGGGUAGCGAAAGGGAUUAGAUACCCCUGUAGUCCUGGCAGUAAACGGUGCACGCUUGGUGUGAGGGGAAUCGACCCCCCUUGUGCCGGAGCAAACGCGUUAAGCGUGCCGCCUGGGAAGUACGGUCGCAAGACUAAAACUCAAAGAAAUUGACGGGGACCCGCACAAGCGGUGGAGUAUGUGGCUUAAUUCGAUGCAACGCGAAGAACCUUACCAAGGCUUGACAUGGAUUUCUAAGCACGUGAAAGCGUGUGACCCUUCGGGGGACUUCCACAGGUGCUGCAUGGCCGUCGUCAGCUCGUGUCGUGAGAUGUUGGGUUAAGUCCCGCAACGA